rnacentral:rRNA from 1 species
AAGUCUUGACAUCCCUGUGACAGUAUAUGUAAUGUAUAUUUUCUACGGAACACAGGAGACAGGUGGUGCAUGGUU